GCCGCAUUCGACUACUGGCUAGGUCGGCUGCUUCUCAGGCAGCAGGAGGAGAUCGAAACUCCUAUGCGGUAC
rnacentral:tRNA from 1 species